rnacentral:rRNA from 1 species
AUGCGUCGUCGCCCCUGCGCUUCGGUUGUCCUUCCACGAGAGUUGGCGCGGCUCCUCGCUGGCCGGCGCGGCCCGCGGAGCCCCCGCGCGUUGAUCCGUUUCCCGCGUCGGCGCCCCUGUGCGCUGGCCGGGCUGGGUGCUCCUCGCCUAGUACCCCGCUGCACUCGCCAGCCGCCGGGUCCGCGUUGCUCCUCAUCUCCGCCACGCCCCGCGCUCAGCCGCCCCCACACUCGGCUGUGCUCCUCCGGCUCCGUGCCCGCGCCUCGGCCUCCGGCCUUGCCUGCGCGGCCGGCUUCUCCGUCCCCGCGCCGGCGCGCCACUCCCGUUCCGCCUUGCGUGCGCUCGCAGUUGGGCUCGCCCGCGUCCACGUGCCUGGCCCGGCUGGCCGCUGCCGCGCUCUGCCUCCUCCCCGCGGGCUGGCUGCCGGCUGCGCCUCAUCGCCUCCCCACACCGGCUCCGCGCCCGGCUACGCCACUCCCCUCCGCCUGCGUGCGCCCCUGUGGCCGCCUGCUCCGCCCCCGGGUCGCCCCGUGGCCGCCUGCUCCGCAUCCGGGUCACCGUGCCGGCCUGCCGGCUUCCCCGCCUCCCGGCCUGACGGCUCCGCCUUCCCGGGCCGCCUGCCCCGCGGCUGGGGACGGGCGCCCCUGCCGCCUCCGGCCAUCCGGCUCCCGCGGCCGCCUAGCUCAGCCGGCUGCCGCCCCUCCCCGGGCCAGGCUCGGCCUCCAACAGCACCGCGACGCCGGCCCCGUCGCCCUCUGCCUGCUCCGUCCACGCCACGACACCGAGCGCGCCUCCCCUCCCACUUGCUCCUCCGCCUGGGCCGCGUGCCCGCGAUGGCCCGGUCGUCUGCGUCGCAUCCCGUGGGUAGGCCGGCCUCCUCCAGCCACUCCUCCUCGCCCGAGCUGCUGCUGUCCGGCUCCCUCCGCCUCCCGCGCGACCCGGCCGGCCGGCUCCCGCGCUCACCGGUUUCCCUGGAACCCGGCCCCGUGCCGGCUCGGCCUCGCCGCCUCCAGCCGGCGACCGGGCGUUUGGCCGGCUCCGCCCGCCAACCCGGCGACCCGGCGCUUGGCCGGCUCCGCCUCGCAUCUCGGCCACCUCUCCGUCCCGCGCCACUGCUGGUCCUCUGACGGGCUCGUGCGCGCCGGCCGCUGCCGGGUCCGGCUCCGCCCGUCCUCGCAACCGCGCGGCCGCGUCUCCCGCGACCAGCUCCGCCUUCGCCCUCGCCGGCCCCGCCCCGUGUCGGGCCUCCUCCAGCCGGCCGCGGCUCCGGGCAGCCUCUCGCCCCGCGCGCCUCGCACGCCCGUCCGGCUCUGGGUGGCCGGCUCGCCGCCCCGCCUCCGCCAGCACCCGGCGCGCGUCGUCCGGCCCACGCUGCUCGCUGCUGCCGCCUUCUGCGAGCGGAAAAAGAAAGAAGAAAAAAAAUAUGUGUGUGUAUCCGGCUGCCCAGAGUCGGGUGAAGAAAGGGCCGGGUGCCCACGGCCGGCUUGCUACAAAAAGAAAAAAAAAAUUGUGUGUAUCCGGCUGCCCAGAGUUGGGUGA